UAGAGAUUAUACUUUUAUCUGCUCCGGUA
rnacentral:piRNA from 1 species